GUGUGGGUCAUGGAGAAACAGUCCCUCUGCGGUGAUGGUGAGAAUGGAAAAGCACAAUGACAGGCCAUGAAAGCAGACCAAACUCCUACCCUUCAUCAUUUUUGACAACCCACCAUUGUCUUCACACAGAGUUUCACUGUCAGUGAAGGUGAGGGAGAGAGAUGUGGAGAGUUGGGGUUCAUAGUAUUGGUCAUGUGGACUCCAAUUCACGUUCACAGGCCCUCAAGCCCCCAAAAUCUUUGUCAAGCCAUUCCCACCACACAUUGCCUCUCCACUACUUGGCCGGGCCUUGCCCCUCUUAAAUUUAUACUAGAUUUUUCAAAAAAUUUCUGGUUUUUUAAAAGAUGGGCUUGUGUCUUUGUGAUUGGUUAUGGACUUGAACGUUGUGACACGUCAUCACCACUGCUCCAAUUUCUGAUAACUAUUGUGCGGAUAAUGUGAUGGCGUGGCCUUUGUUGGGUCCAAUCACCAAACAGCAUCAUUGCCAGUAAAGGGGAAGGAAAAUGAUUCAUGCCAAAGAAGAAUUUUUUUUAUUUUUCCUUACAAAACUCAUGUCAACAAGAAGAAUAUUUUAUAUUUGUAAUUUUUAUAAAAAUUCAGUGGCAUGUUAAUAUGUUAUAUAGAUUUAAAAAAUAUGAAUUAUUUAAACGAACAAAAUUUGUAUUUAUAAGAAUUUCUAAAAUAUUUUUCAGAAAAGACUCAAUAGUAUAUAUAUAUAUAUAUAUAUAUAUAUAAAAGUAUACAUAUAUUGAAAAUAUAGAAUAAUGAAGGCACCGACGAAGGUAUGUGUGAUUUAUGAGUGAUCAACUAACAUAUCUCAUGGCCAACAUUGCCCACAUUCUCAUGGCAUGGGAGGACAUACGAAUUUUAGCAGCAUUUGAAUUAUUGUCCAUUUUUAACGAUAUCUUUGCUGGGAGGUGCCAGUUCCAGUGAACCCCGUCUCGCCAAUCGCCAGUUAUUGAUAUAUAUUCUGGAGCGAAUUUGAGAGUAGAUUGUUACCCGGGUUGGCUCUCAUAGGCUAUAGAUUGAGUUUGAUUCUAAAGAUUUUAGCUUUGAGUGGGAACUUAAAGCAAGCCUGCCUUCGAUUGAAUAAUAAAAUCUGAGUUUAAUUCUAUCGAUUUGAAUUCAACCAAGCUUAGAAAAAUCAGAUGAGAUUAUGUUUGGAUUGAAUGAAUAACAACUAAGAUGAGAUAAGGUACGUGUAAUUAUUUGAUUUGAUUUUAUAUGUAUAAAAUAUAGAAUGAAGAAUUGAAUAAUCAUCAUUAUGAGGGGGAAGGUCAUAUCAAUAUUGCUUCCAUUUGAAUUAUUUUCUUCCCUGUGUCAAAUUUGCAAUCGUCUCAUCUGGUACAGCUCUUGUUGUUUGGCACUCCCUUCCCUUUAUUAAAAACCCAGAAGACAAAAAAUGAUUGUUUAUAAUUUUCAAAAAAUAAAAAUUCGGAAAAUAAUGUGAUGGGCCUCUUGGAGGAGAGGAAGGGUUGGAUCUCCUAUGAUUGAGGUCGAGUCCUGCCCAAAGGGUUUUAGCCUUGAGAGGGGAUUCGAACCCAGGCCCAGGCCUCUAAUUUGGGUCAUAGUGAAUGAGAACACCUGCAAAACAAAACAAAGAGGCUCCGAUGCCUAAGUCAGCGAUAGAAUAAAAUAUAGGUAAUUAUAAAAGAUAUUUUAUAUAUACAUACCUUCACCAAAUGAUGUCAAAUUGUCCCUAAGACACAUAACAUUUAGAGCACCUAAAGGUACAAAUUGUCACAUAUUUCCUAUAAAUCAAUAUAUGUAACAAAUGCUCUUCAAAUUUGUCAAAUUUCUCCGUUAAUAUUGUCUAAACUGUUUCUAAUAAACAAAUUUUUUGUCUCCGAAUACUUUUCAACUACCCGAAAAUCUCCAUAAAAUCAAUCAUGUUUUUGAAUAUUAAUCAAAAUCUAAUUUUAUAACCUAUUCAAUGAACUUAAAAUUCUAAAACUAAACUUACAUCAAUCAUCCAAAAAAUACUAACAAAUCUCCCAAGACCACCAAAUCCAACAAAUUUAUACACCUAGUCUCCACAAAUUUCUAUUAUCAAAACCUUUGAUCUUAAUUUCCUGAAAAAUUCUUCAAAUUUAUCAAAAGCAUUCAUUAUGCAAUAAUUGAUAUAUUUAACAAAUACUUUUUCAAUUUAUCAAAAUCUUCUAGCAAAAAAAUCUCAACAACCCCCAAUCAACUAAGGGCAAGCACUCUUUAUUGCCAUAUUUAAUAAAUAUUCUUCAAAUUCAUCAAGCUCCUGUAUACCUGUGGUCCAAACCUUCUUCAUUAAUGUCAUCUUUUCUCGUAAGCAAAUUACCAUCUCCAAUUCACAAAAUGCCUAAUGACACAAAUUUAUCAUUAACUACUAAUAAUUAAUAUAUCUAAUAAAUACUCUCCAAAUUCUUGAAAAUCUUCCCUCAAUAAUGUUCAAAUUCUCUCAAGAAAAAUCUCAAUUUUCUCUUAGAAUAUUUAAAAUCAAUGAAAUCAAUCAUACCUUAAAAUAUUAAUCAAAAUCUAAUUUUAUAGUCAUAUGAUCAACUCCAAGUUCUAACAUUGAACUUAAAUCAAUUAUCUAAAACUAGAACUAUCAUCCCGAAACUCCCCACUUGUUCAAACACCAAAUUUCCCAUAACCAAAUCCAAAAUUAGUACAUCUGACCUCCACAAAUUUCAUAUCAUCAAAAUCUCAACAUAUUUCUUCAAGGUAAGGGAUGAAAUUCACAAUCUAUAAAGCUAAUAAUAUAUCGAUAAAUAAUUAAAUCCAAAUUUAUAAUUAUAUACACUAACCAUCCAAAAUUCAAAUAAUUUGAAGCACCUAAUUUCUUUUAAUAUUAAAGUCCAACCACAAACAAAUUUUCUAUAAUGAUAUCCAAAAUUUGUAACUAUAAUCCAAUUUUAUACCACAAAAAGAGUAAUUUUUUCAACAAGUAAGCUCUCAAUAUUAUCAUAGUCUUAAUAACAUCUAGAUUUUAACCAAUGGUCCUCGGAUUUAUUCUAUUUCAAACACCCAAACUUCCAUAAUCCACCGCCCAAAUUCCAAUUUUCUAUUAUAAAUAUGCGAAAGAGGAAAAUUAUUAGUUUAUUUUUUAUUUUUAAAAUAAAAAAAAUAAAAAAAAAAUGGAUGAAGGCCAAAUUACCAAAAAAAAAAAAGUAAAGAAAAAACAACUGAAAUUGAAAAUAUACAGCAAUGAAUAAUUUUUUUUUUUCCAGAAACCGACUGAGAAAAAGAACAAAAAGACUCAAAAAGAUAGACAAAGGCCAAAAUUUAAAAAAUAAAAAAUAAAAACAAAAAACAACAGAAAUUGAAAAUAUGCAGCAGUGAAUAACCCCUUUUUUCUUUUUUUAUAUAAUAUAGAAAAGACAUUAUUAUAGCCUCUUGAGAGCUAUUCAAGAAUUUUACGUUGGUUCACCUAUUUUUUUAAAAAGAAAAGGAAAAAAAAUAUGCAUGAGUGAAUAAGGAUUUUUUUUUUCCUUCAUCUUGUUUUAAGUUGCCCUUUUUCAUGAAAUAUUGUUCAAGUUUAUUGAAAUCAAUUUAAUUUUUUUUCCCAAAUUAAUAAAUAAAAAACAAAAUAUUUGGUUAAAGCGACAAUUUGAUUCUUUCAAAUAUUCACCAAAAUUCAAAUAACCCAAAAAUGAAUCAAUGAACAAUUCUUAGACUUAAACUCAAACAUUUCAAAUAUUAAAUAGCCUAAUGUCCAGGACAUUGAAAAGAUUAAGGUUUGUUUCACUAGCAAUAAAUCGAUUAAUGCCACAAAUAGAUACUACCACAUGUAAAAGAUAAUGCAAACACGAGUUCAAUAAAGUCGUAUAGCUAUAGCAUUGAUAUAAUGACAUAAGAUUCACUAUCGUCGACUCUUAGAAAUGUGAAUGCAAAACUUGUGCUUAGGACUUUUUUGAUUUUCUGCUCUAACUCCCCAUUUAUUGCUAUUUUUGUUCCUCUCUUUUUUCUUUUUCUUUUUUAUGAGAAAUGACGGCGUACACACUUAGUUGAUUCAUUGCCACCCAAGGUAGCCUUUUUCAUUCUCGAGAGGGUUUCCAACUUUUUGUUAAAAAAGCGAUGGCUUACACGCUCAAAUGAUUCAUUGCCAUCUAAGGUAGCCUUUUUCACUUUUUAGGAAACUUAAUGUAUGAAGGAGAAGCAUACUAACGAUUUUUCCACCACACUCCUUCUACACUCACAUUAUCUUUAAGUCUAGUAUAGAUCAUCAAAAAUAAUAAUAAACAAUUGCCAUAGAUAUUUGUCUUCAACUUACAAGUGUUUAACAAUGAAUAUAUAUAGGUAUAGAUUUUGUUUAUAAGCAAAUUAUUUCAAUUUUAUUACAUGGAGACAAAACUUAAUCCAUACCCGAACCUAGAACAUUAGGCUUACUCUUUUACUCUUAUUUAAGUAAAGCUCAAGUCUUGAAUAUGAACAUUUAAUCCAUUUUUGAAGAAUUUGAAUUGAAGGGAAAAAUGGAAUUCACAUCUAUUUUAUUUAUUUUUUCUUGUUAAAUUAUUUGAUUCUUUAAUUUUUCUUAUCAAAUUAUUUGAUUCAAUAGAAGAAGAGAAAAACAAGGCAGCAUGCUCAACAAGUUUUAUUUUUUAUUUUUCAAAUUAUUUUUUUAUGGAUAAAAAGAUUAAAUAAAAGACGGAAUUCUAAAAUUUGGAAUAUUGAUUCGAGUGGAACUUUAUAACAUGUUUGGAUGUGAAAAAAGAAAAAGAAAAAAGAGGAAGCCUAACUAGGAUAUGGUAUAUUGAGUCACAUGCUUUCAUUUUGUAAAAGGAUGAAAAACGAAAAGAACAUAAAAAUAAUUAAAUAAUAAUAAUUGGAAUAUUGAGUGAAAAAGGAUGAAACAACAAAAAGAGCAUUAAAAAAGAUAAACUAGAAACUGGGAUGUUGAGUUGAGUGGAACUUUGCAACAUACUUAAGCAUGUUUUCUUUUUCCUUUUUUUCUUUUUAUUUAUUUAUUUAGAAGACCUAAAAAACUAAUAAUCCUAAUAAAUGGUAUACCUCUAGGACACGGUUCACAUGAGUAAAACCCUAAAAUAUAUGUAUAUAGAUUAGGAACUAAAAUGACUUAAUGGCAAAGAAGGACAUAAAAAUGAACAAAGUGAAAUGACACACAAACAAUUUUUAAAGAGAGAAAUGGGAAUGAUAUGAGAACGAAUGAAAUAUAUAGUUACCUCCCUCGUGCCAUUUUGGUGCUUGCCUUUGCCGCCAUCAUAAAAUCAUAGUAUGUCCAUGGGUGGUACAAUGCGUGCAACUAUCACAGUGAUGUCGUCGGGUUUGCCACCACUUCUAAACUUUCCUUCCUUCGAUGCAGCUAUUGUGUACGGGGAAUCACCACUUUUAAUCAGUGAAUUUUCCAAGGCCUGUUCCGCCAAUAACUUGGCCAAUAGUUGUGGCUUCAGACAACCUUCGUCACGCAGAACCCUUAUAGCCACCUCCAUCUCACUUACGAACACAUUGUCGAACAGUCCAUCCGUUCCAACCACAACCACAUCUCCUGCCCUUACCCCAAUUAUAAGCUCCUGUAGAUAAAAUGUUUAUAAAGCACCGGAAUUAUGAAAUGAUCAAGUUAGAGUCCUAAUAUUUUGAAAAAGUGAUUCUAAUAUAAAUAUUGUUUUUAAAAGGAACAAAAAUAUUCUAAAUUUCAAAUUCAACUUAAUCCAACUAAUAGAUCCUACCCAAGAUUCCAAAAAAAUAAAAAGAGUUUAUUAAACUUAUGUCAACCUAAACUUAACAAAAUAAUAAACUCAUGAUAGGGUACAAAUUAGUUACCUUUGCUAUACUUGGAUCAUCACAUCCGCUGCUCUUCCCCAAUUGAUACGGACAAUUAAAAAAAUAUUGUUGUAUGGAUGACUUAUAUAUCAUAUUUCCAUUUCUAAAUAACAUGAAUCCACUGUCUCCAACAUUGACAACAUUUAAAUACUGUAAAGUAAUAACAAUAGUUAAAACAUAAUAAAUAUAAGAUAAUUGAUUUAAAAAAAAACUUUUAUAUAUAUUUAGAUUCAUAAAUUUACUAAAUUACAUACCUCCUUCAUAAGUGUUAUGAUACAUGCUGUGGAUGAUCCUUCAACAUUAGUAUUAGAGUAAGCUUUUUCCAAAACUAUUUGUGGAUACACAAUUUCUUUUUCUUCCGCAUAAAGGGUGGUGACACAAUUAUCCAUUAGUUGUCGAGCAUAUUCACCCCCAUCUAUGCCCUGCUCUGCCCAACCAGCUACGCCAUCUGCUAAACCAAUGGUUUGAUGAUGUUUACUAAUAAAAUAAGCAUCAUCUCCCUUUGUACUUGAUUUAUUCUUAUCCGGUAUGUAAAAAGAUCCGAGAUCCAUGAUCAAACUCCUUUCACUCAAUAUUUUCAUAUCCUUUUUGAUAGGUUUAAUCCUAAAUAAUAAACAUGUUCAAAUGAUCAGAAAAAAUAAAUAUAUAUAUAUAUAUAUAUAUAUAUAUUGAAUUCACACAUCAAGUAUGAAAUUUGAAUAUACAAUCUUCAAGCAACGAAAACUUUCUUGUGGCAUUAAUUUGAUAUUUGUAAAUAAAAAUAAAAAUAAAAAUAAAAAUAUACUUGUUGCUAUCUAAAACCUUCAUAAAAGAAAACUUCCAUACCUUCUCAUCGUACGUUUGGCCUUGACCUUGUCUUCCAUUGUAUUUUUUUCAAGAUGGUUGAAAACAAUGAGUUUUAGUUCAAGACAACAAGAAGCAAACACUUGAAUGAGAAUAAAGAAAAGGUUUUGAUGAUGGAUAUUUCUAUUUAAGUAAUAGUAAUUGAACUAAUUUAGGAUUCUACAACUUUAAGAUCAUGCUAGAUUUAAGGGAUUUGAGGGAUUUGAGGAUAAGAUAUGAGAUAUAUCCAGGACUUAAUAUUCAUAUAUCUACCUAUCCCAUUUGUAACAACUUUCUAUUUUUAUUUUUCUCACUUUUUUCAUAUUAAUCAUUUGUCAACAAAAAUAUAAUUUAAAAAACAAAAUUCUAGUUAAAAAAUAAUUUUACAACCUUAAAUAAUAUUAAUGUAUAAUAUCGUUCAAUAAAACGUCUGAUAUACACCAAAUGCCAUAAUUCAAUAUUUUAAUUAUGAAUAUUACUAAUAAAGAAAUUAAAUAUAUAUAUAUAUAUAUAUAAAUUGUGAAAAGAUUUCCUAAUAAUACUAAAAAUGAAAAGGGUUUGAUAUUUUAUUAUUGCCAAAUAUUGAGAAGUAACAUAUUUUUUAUUUAAAAAAAUUCCACAACAUUAGUAGAAAUUAUAUUUUUCAUUUAAUUUUUUAUUCUUUUAAAAAUCAAAUAUGAGAAUAGGUUUAUAUAUUUUAUUGAAUAUAAUAUUUUAAGAUAUAAUUAUCUAUCAAAUAUAUCUUAUCCCUCCUUAGAGAUGAUUUAAGAUAUUAAUUAAACUUUUUAGAAAUUUAAUUAUGGUAGUUUUAAUUCAUUCCACAAAGAAAAUAUUUUGGUAUUCCAAUUUUUCUAACUCUUUCACGAAAAUCAUAUCUCUUUAAUAAGCAAAAAAAAUAAAAUAAAAAUGGUAAGAGUUACAAUUAGUUGAAUUUAAAAAAUUAAUAUUAAUUUAAAAUAAUUAUAUCAAAUAUUUUAAAAGAUAUAUACUAAAAUAUCCUAAAUUUUUUAAAUGUGGCUGAUAGUAAUCAUACAUUUAAAAAUAAAGGACUUGGUUUGUAAAUAUAUAUGAUUCACGUGGGAUAAAAGUCGGUAGGAUCUGCCUUUAAGGCUAUCGCUGGGCCUCGCAAUUCCUACAACCGCUCACACAUUGCACAACAAACAACAUGAAUGUCAACGCCGUCGCGACUCGCGAGUAACUCCUAUCCCCGCUGCUAUUUAUCACAUGUGGCAAAUGAUGAUUGGAUAUUAAAAUAAUAUAAUAAAUUUAAUAAAAAAAACAAGGUUGUUUCUUUAUAUAUCCUAUAUUAAUCAUGAUUCAAAAUUUCAGGUAUUUUCAUAUUUUAUUUAUUUAGUGAAUUUUUAUUUUACUUCGUUUGAUUGACAAUAUAUAUAAAUCAUAUUUUAUAAUUUUCAAUAGGAUAUGAUAUUUUUGAAUAUACAUAUAUUAUCAAUAUGAUAUUUUAAAGUAAUAUAUACAUUGAAAUAUAUUAUAUAUUUUUUAAUUUAUUAAAUGAAUAAAGAAUAAUAUGAAAUAUAUAUUAUUUUUAAUGUUGAAAAUAAAAAUUAUAUAACAUUGAAAUAUUUUUUUAUUUAAAAAAUGAAAAUUUUAUUAUAUUUAACAAUUUUUAUGAUUAAAAAAUUAAAAUUUUACAAAUAUUUUUUUAUAUUAUGUUAUUUAAUAUAUCAAAAUAAUUUAUAUAUCAUAUAUUAAUAUUAUUUUAUAAACAUUUUUUUAGUUUUUAUUUUUUAAUCAUAAAUUUAAUUUAUAAAAAAAAUUAUUUUAUAAAAUGGAUAUAUCAACAAAUAAAAAAUAAAUUUUUGAUAUGUGAGAUAUGUAUAUCUCAUAUCUUAUUAUGAGAUUAAUAUAUAUGAAUAAAAAAAAUUGUGGAUAAUAUAUUCUAUCACUUAUCUUAUCUUUUGUUUAGUUAAACAUGGGAUAGGAUAGAUGAUGAUAUAACUUAUCCUUUCUUAUCACCGACAAAACAUAAAAAAAAAAAUUGGUGGAAUCACUUAUCUUAUCUUUUCUUUAGUUAAAUAUAUGAUAUGAUAGAUGAUGAUAUAACUUCUCAUUUUUUAUCACGAUGAGAUAAGAUAUAAUAUUUCACUGCUUAUCCUAUCUCAUGUUAUAUUGGAUUAACCAAACAUGACUUUUAGUUUUAUAUGGGAUAUUUGUAUUUUUAUACUUUGUAUGAUGAUAAUGAUCCAAAACUUAUGUCCAAACAAGGAUUAAAAUAUUAGAUUUUUAAAAAAUAUUAGCAAAUAUCUUAUAUUUAAGAAGGGUAUGAAAAUAUAAAAAAUAUCAAUAGAAGUUUUGAAAAAAAUAUGAGGAGAAAAAUUAAUAAAAAAUUAUUAAAAUAUUAAAAAAAUAAUAUACUAUGGACCCCGCAUUUCGGCUCAUGCGUUUCUCACUCGAUGGCAAGCUCGAUUUUUAUUUGAAAAAUGAUUUUUAUUGUUUAGAAAAAUGUUUAAAAAAAUGACUUGGAGUCGCCACUCAUUUUUGUUUUAUUUUUAAAGGGUAAACAAAAUAAGAAAGAAAAACCCUAAGUAUAACUCCUUAUUUUGGAAAAGGUGGUUUGUGGAAAACCGGAUCGGGUUUGGGGGUCAAGUUACUUAUCGGGAAGGUACGGUAAAAACCGUAGCACUCCUCUAAUUCCCUAAUGUCGGGUCUCUACUGAUGAGAUGAAGUAAUCAUGGCAUCUAAUAAGGAAAUAAAUGAAAACUCGAAUCGAUCAUGCACAUAUGAGAAUCAGGCAGUGAUCUAUAAAGCGCUAUCAAGAAGUGAGGUUAAUACACAAUUAAGGAAUAAUUUUGAGUAUGUUAUUGAGCAGAAUAAAAUCAAUCAUGCAUGACAAUUAAAUUAAUCAAUCAAUCAUAAAAUCGCAUAUGUAGGGCCCCCACCAAAGUCCGUUUUAUUUUGCAUGACUUAAUUUCGUAAAUUCCAUUAUUCGGAAUUACAAAAUUUAAUUUUUGCUUAUUUUUAAAACAUUUUAAAAGAUCAUGAAAGAUUUGAAAAUUGCUUGCCGAAUAGAAAGUAGAAGCAAAUUUUAUUAAAAAGAGAUUUUGGUACCUAAAACCCUAAGGAUGAAAAUUUUGGAGUUGAGAUGUAAGAUUGUAAGAUUGGGUACACAAAUGUUGCAGCGCUUAUUCCUCGUGCUAUUCCGAUAACAUAUGCAGGAAUACCUUCCCAUUGCAGGGCAACUGUCAUCAAAGUCCCAAACCUGAGAACAGUAAAAUACAGUAAUGCUAGAGCUACUCCUGAAAGCACCACAUCUUGCCGUAAGUACACAUUCCAUGCAGAAAUACAGAGGACCUUCCAAACGCAUUUAAUCAUUUUUCUUUUCCAGCUGUUGUCUGACAAUGUCGAAUUGCCUCUAUCAAAGGAGGGUGAGCUAUUUACCCCUUGACAAGCAGAUGUACUCUCCCCUGCUGAUCUCUCUGCAAUUUUAGAGGUCCUUUUCUGGUUGCUUUCGCUUAAUGCUGGAAUUCCAUUAUAUACAAACAUUAGAAGCCAAUACUGCAACCAACAGAUACAGUGUUCCAGAUUGCCAAAGUCAUAGCAGAUGCUUUCAAUGGUACGAAGCUGAUAAUGAAGCCAGUAACUACAGGAGCAAAUAACUUGUAGAUUAAAACAAACAGUCUUAAUACUGAGUUCAUCCUUGUCAGUACUUCAGGAUUUAUGUCAAUAUACCAAUCUGGUUUAAGUUGCCGAACAAAGGAUGACCGCCCAUUCUCUGUGCUACAAAAAAAAGAACCUUGCCUUGGACCAAGUCACCAGAUGUGAAAACCCCAGCAUCUUCUAAAGCCAGAAACACCUUUCUUUCACUUUCAUCAUCCAGAACUCUUUCCAUGAGAUAAAGAUCACAAAACUUUGUUAUCUCCAACAACACUUCCGGCACAGAGGAUCUCACAGUUGCUUGUUUCGCCUGAAGCUCUUUUGGACUGCUUCCCUCAAGGAUCACACCAAGUAACCGGCAUGUUACCUUCCUUCCUUCACUCAAUUUCUGCCUAACUAUUUGCCCUAAAGUUGGCUCUACUGGCUGGAAGAACUCAUCGAUAACAUUCUGUGCUCUUGUGAUGAGAUAUAUCCUCCCAUGCUAGCACGAGAAUCAGUAGAAACCAUUACACUCUCUUUAAAAAAAAACGAGAGUCGCAAAGAAAUGGAGCUCUUAUCCUUGAUAAUGGGGUCACCAACUUCACCGCUACCAAGAAGACUCUGUGAAUGCCAACCCUGCAUAGCCCAAGCUGCAUCAUCCCUUCAUGCUCUGCCUGAUCCUGAAGCCUGAUUUUCAACAUUCAUGGACUCUGCCAAGGAAGAAACAGGAACACUGAGCUCUCCGCCACGUGUUUUAUGCCUUUCGUAAUUUAGAAGUGCCUUCUCAUAAAAAACCUCGAAACACCCAUGAAACAGUAGUACAUGUCUUUGGAGAUUUAAAGGACUCUCCCACUUGCCGCCACAGUUUGCAUGAAGUCACCUUGUCAUAGCCACCCAAUCUAGUCACUGUUGAUUUGAAUAAAACCUGAACAGAGAAGAUUGUAGCAUCCUGUGGCCUGAUAUGCAUCACUAGUCCAAGCAUGAAUCGACACGUGGCUCAUUGAGGGCCCUUCACUUUAGCUGGAAGUCAAUUUAAUUGAAAGCAUCACCUCCACGUUGACAUGCUGAAACCUGAGUUGAUUCAGUUGAAGUCCAAAUGAAGAUUCAUAUUGGAAUGGUAAACAAGUCCAUCAUGGCAUCCAUAAUCUGAAUAAGGUCGGCCUCCUUGUUCUAUUCCUCCUUCCAAUUAAACCAAACACAUAGUCUGAGGUACCAUCUCCCUGAUGGGUACAGUGCUCAUGGAAGCUGCUGAUUGACCUGACUAGGCAUUGCAUCCCACCUGUCACUCUCUGGCAUCGUCCCUGCCAGUCUGUAUAUUCCCUUUGCAUCAGUGAAGGUCUGAUGAUUUAGAACUUCCUCAGACUUCGUUAUGCACAGAACAGCUACCUCAGCACCUUCCAAGUUUUCCGUCUGAAUGCAGCUCUUGAGAGGCACCUACUCCCCAAGAUUGAGUUCCUCUAUGACGACAUCAGACAGCUUUUUGAUGCUCAAUUCUGUGCAUAUUCUCUCUGGAAGAUCUGGGUGAACAAAUCUUAGCCUAGGGCUGCUAAUCACAUCAACAGACACCCGAUUUCAGUGAAGGAAGCCGCAUCUGCUGGUCCUAGGCUCUGCUCUUUUUGAAAAGAGGCUGGGAAAACGAUGAAAUUGAUGUCGCCACAGCCUAUGAAUCACUGGAGCUAUCACAGCUAAAGGGCGCAUCAAAGAUGCCACUUGGACUUCUGGGCAGGGACAGAGGCUUGCGCUUGUGGGUCUGGUUUUGGGUGCGCCCAUGGCUACCCAAAAAUUCCUGGAUAAUAAAGCGGAGAUUGAAGUGUCUAAAGAGGACAUGCAUGCGUCAAAAACGGACAUGCAUGCACGUGGCGAAUACGGGAAAGAGAAUGGGUAUAAAAAUGAAGAAAAAUGAGAUGGAAAUGGCUAUGCAUGGAAGAGAGGAUGAUUAAAAAUGAUGGGAAAACGGGUGAGAUGGAUUGGUGAGUCAAAUGGGUUUGAGAAUAGGUAUGACGGGAUAUAUAUAAAAGAAAGAAAAAAUGGCUGUGGCUAGACAUAGGAAUUCAUGCACAUGAGAGAUGAGGUUUAAUGUGUAGGGAAAGGAUGAUGAGGGGUGAGCAUUUCGCGGCUGGGUUGGUGCUGCAAGCAUGGGUAUUAAGCCUUGUGAUGAGGCCAUUGUUACUGGAUUUCUGUCAUGAAUCACCAAACAGUGAUCGCGCCAUCAGAUUCUGGUUUCAUGGAGUUGCCUGAGGCGUUCUUACAUGCUGUAAUGAUGCUGAAAAAUCCGUUUUCUUCCAAAUAUAUGAUAAGAACCUGCCAAAUGACUGACUAUAGCUGGAACUUGGCUCGAAAUAGUCGUCAUGAGACAAGUCAAAACAUCACAGCCGGAGAUGAAACAGAAUGGAAGUCGGAAAAAUUUCCCGAGACCUCACUUGUGAGUCAAAGAUCUGCGAGUAUGGGGUCAAGCGCCUGGUUAUGGAUAUAGGAAACACCAUACCAGAUCAGCAUGCAUGAACGAUUUCUCGGACUUCUCUCUUCUUUGUAAUCACUAUCAUCUUUCCAAUCGAAACAUUCUUGCCUCAUCAACCAUGACUAGAUGAUGAUUUUCAUCUGAUUACAAUCAGAUUUAUAAGAAUCAUCGACUUGCUAAUUGAUACGCAGACAUUUUCUUCAUCACUUACAAGCACCUCGCCAUCCCCUUUAGCGGACCUCUCACCAUCCUAUACAGAAAUGCUAUACCUCCAUGGAUGAAUCAAUGUGAGAACUCAGUCCCAGCAACCUACUUACUGUAAACUGCUAGGGUCACCUUCAAUCCAGUUUCUCCCAAUCUUUCAGCCUUGCAUACCCGUCCAGAGGAAAACAGAGGAAACCAAAGAAUAAUAACAGGCAAAAAAACAUGAAGCCUUUAACAAUCAUGUCAGACCCAUUUCAUCAUUUUAUCCGUAAGUCCAACAAUCGAUGGGUUAAAAAAAAUAAAAACAGAGAAUAUUCACAAAAGCAGAGCACAAAACACAGCAAGCUCCUCAAAUAUUUAACCAAAAAGAAUCACCCAACCAAAACAACUCAACAAGCAAAGUUAAGAUCACAGAGAAUGAGAUAGGAAAAGUAUGAAGAACAAAAACAUACGUGAAAACCAUGGUAACCAAACCUGAAAAUCUCUUCCUCAGCUGGGUGUUUUUGGCUGUAACUCCCUGCUCCGUCUCGUGUGAAUACUCAGCUCAGGAUCCUUCUCAAAAAGCUCCUCAAUCAAUCGUCCCUCCUCUCUUCCCUCUGCAAAAAUUCGCUCCACUGCUCUCCAGGUUUUUUUCUUGCUCUCUAGCCUCAAAACUCGCUCUUUCUCUCUUCCUGUUCUCUCUCUCGUUCUCUCUCUCAAAACCCUCUUUUCCUCUCUUCUGAUUUUUCUCUGUUUUCUCCCUCCUCAGCCAAACAGCCUGCUACCUCUAAAAUAUCUCUCCACCUUAACGUCCAAAAAGCACCUGCACCCUAAAAAGUAUCCUUUCUGCCAACCUCUUCUCUCUCUCAUCCGCUCCUCCUCUGAAAAGAAAAUCAGCAACCAAAUCACCACCCCCCUCCACUCACUAACGGCCUGCAGCUUUUAGAAUAUCCUCUUGAUAGGUGUCCUCUUCUGAUUGCUUCCACCAGCUCCCUCUCAAUGGCAAGAUGCAUUACCUGGUGACCAGUCUUCAAGCUCCACGUGGCUCCCUGGAAUCUGGACAUUUGGCAAAACAGGUUGCAUGAAAUGCACCCCAACAUGGGGGCUACAUAUACAUAUUAAAAAAAUUAUAUAAAUAUAUCUAAUUUUAAAAAAUAAUGAUAUAUAUAAUUAUUUUUAUUUUAAAAUUGUAUGAUUUGUUUUAAAAAAUUAUAUUUAUAUAUUAUGAGUUUAAUUAUAAAAUUAUUCAUUAAAAAGGUUAUCAUUAAAUAAAUUUAAAAAAUGCGAUAAUUAAAUAUUUUGAAAAUGGGAUAAUUAUAUAUAUAUAUAUAUAUAUAUAUAUAUAUAUAUAUAUAUAGAGAGAGAGAGAGAGAGAGAGAGAGAGGUCACCUGGUAGGCUGGUGUGUAUAUAUAUAUUUUUGUGAAACAUUUAUUUAUAUUGAAAAUGAAAUAUUAAAAAUUAAAAAUUAAAUGUUAAUUAUUUCAUUUUUAAAUUCCAAUAGGGUGAAGAUGGGGGUGGGGGUUAAACGGCAUGGGUGGCUUGUUGUCACCUGGUAGGCUGGUGUGUAUAUAUAUAUUUUUGUGAAACAUUUAUUUAUAUUGAAAAUGAAAUAUUAAAAAUUAAAAAUUAAAUGUUAAUUAUUUCAUUUUUAAAUUCCAAUAGGGUGAUUACCCAAAAUUUAAAACUAUAUAACAAUUAAAUAUAAGAUAAAAACAGCUUUUAUUGUUUAUUGAAAAUUUUAAAAUAUUUUAAUGAAAUGUAUUUUAUUAAUAUUUUUUCUAAUUUAAAUCAUGUUUCUAUAAAAUUUCCAACUAUUAUCAAUAAUAUUCUAGAUUUAGUUUGAACUUUCUCGAUCCGGUUUUAGUUUGAAAUUCCAACUAUAUUACCUUUUAAUUAAGUUUCUUUUAUCCGAUCUCAAUUUAGAUUACCUAAAUUUGGGAAAAAGUUGAAUGAACUCGAUUUAAUAUUUUUAUGAUUUUAAUAUUUGUAUGGUACAUUAUCUUAUUUAAUAAUAUAUAUAUAUAUAUAUAUAUAUAUAUAUAUAUAUAUAUAUUGUUUUUAUAUUUUUAAGAAAAAAAUAUUGAAGCCAAUCUAUCUGCACUCCACAGCUUCACAUUUCAAAUCAAUAUAUGCAGAUCCCCCCAUAUCUACAAUCAUCUCAUCUGAUAAGCCUCUUCUUGUUUGGUAGUCCCUUCUUUCUAUUAAAAACUUUAAAAAAAAAAAAAGCCACUAACUGUUUAAAAAAUAAUUAUUGGGCAAAAUAUAAUGUGGUGGCCCUCUUGGAGGAGAGGAAGGAGCGGAUCUCCUAGGAUUGAGGUUGAGUCCGGCCCAAAGGGUUUUAGCCUUGAGCGGGGAAUCGAGCCCAGACCCAUGCCUCUAUAUUGAGUUGCAAUUUAUAUUUAUCCGUAUAUUAUUUUUUUAUGAUUUAAUGAAUAUAUUUAAAGAUUACUUUUUUUUUUUUUGUUCUCAAAUCUUUAGUAGAUAUAAUUUUGGGUUGUUAAUGACAUUUUUUUAGUGUUGGGGCUUUGUUAGUUUAGGGGUUUUUCUACACAAUUUUAAUUUUGAUUUUAAACUAAAUGAUGAUUAAAUGAUGGAUGAUAUUCAACCUUUUUCAUUUAUGAUAUAUAUGACCUUUUGUUUAACCUUUUUGUAAAAGGAAAAAAGGAAAAAAAUAUUAAGAAAAAUUAUAUAUUUUUAAUAAACAUUUGAAUACCAAGAGAGAAAAAAAAAUUAACAAGGAAUGGUUAAAAAAAAUAGAUUAGUAAAGUGUAGAAAUUUUUCGAUCAACAAUAGGACUACUCACAGAAUUAGAAGCUUCACUCGUGGAAGGAGAUGAAGAAAGUGAAGAUGUGUGGCUGCCAUUAGAACAGAAGGUUGGAGAAGGAAAGGAAGUUAUAAUGGCUGGAGUUAAAGUAUCUGUUGAAGUGUCUUUGGUUGGGGAGAGAGGGUGAGUUUUAGCCAGAGGAAAUUGUCCCUCAUCAAAAACAACAUGAGGAGUGAUGUAAACUCGUCCAGUCAGAAAGUCAAGACACAAAAAUCCUUUGUUAUGAAGACUAUAACCAAGAAAUAGACUUUGAACAGAACGAUAUUGAAGUUUGUGACUGUUGUAAGGACGGAUGAAUGGGUAACACAAGCAGCCAAAGACUCUAAGGGACUUGUAAUCCGGAACCUUUUGAAAAAGUGUGAAAUAAAGGGAGUUAUUUUGGAGUACCUUACUUGGCAUUCUAUUGAUGAGAAAUGUAGCUGUCUGGAAAGCAUAUUGCCAGAACUCCAUUGGUAAGGAGGCAUGAGCCAACAAGGCCAACCCGGUUUCAACAACAUGCCUAUGCUUUCGUUCAACUCUCCCAUUCUGAGUUGAGUUAUACGGGCAAGAAAAUCGAUGAAAAAUGCCUGUUUGCUGAAGAAACGUCUUGAAGGAUCUGAACUCACCACCAUUAUCAGACUGUAAGCAUUUGAUUUUAGCAUCAAAUUGAUUUUCUACUUGGAGUUUGAACUUCUUAAAAACAGGAAGGGCUUGGUCUUUUGUUUGAAGAGGAUAGAACCAGGUGUACCGUGAGUAGUCAUCUAGAAACAAGAUGAAAUAUCUAGCACCAGAGGUAGACUUGACUGGGGCAGGUCCCCAAAGGUCAGUGUGAACAAGUUCCAAAGGUUUGGAAGUACAAGAAAGUGAAAGAUGAGUAGGUAAUCUGUGACUUUUAACAAGCUGACAAGAGGAGCAAACAGUAGAACAAACAGUAUUUUUAUUCUUUUCAAAAGAGACAUUACAACUCUGCAUAAUUUGGGUUACAAUGUCAGUAGAAGCAUGGCCUAGUCUGUGAUGCCAUAACUUCACUUUAUUAUCAAAGAUACUGGAAUUAUGAGAGUAAAAAGUAGAAGAAUUAGUAGCACCAACAAAGGCUACUUUCUUGCUGUUUAAAACUGGGAAUCGGUAAAGUCCAUUCUCAAGCUGGCCUUGAGCAAGCACCUUCUUCGUAUGUAAAUCCUUCACAAAGAAACUAUUAGACCGAAACUCAAUUAAGGCAUUAUUGUCUGAGCAGAAUUUAGCAACACUUAUCAAGUUUGCUGAUAUAAAUGGGACAUGAAACACCUUUUUGAGAUGAAAGGAAUGUGAAUCAGAAAGUAAACGAUGAGAACCAGUGUUGGAAAUGGAUAGGUGCUUACCAUUACCAAUUGUCACCUUAUCUGUGCCCGUGUAUGGUGAAGAACUGGUCAGAUUACCCACACUCUAAGUCAGAUGAUGACUGGCUCCAGAGUCAAGAUACCAAGUGUCAUCUGCAAGAUUAUUAGAAGAGGCAACCAUAGCAGGUAUAGAGUUUGGAUUACCAGCAUUUGAGGGAGAAGUAUUACUGCUCUGAGAGCUUUGAUAGGAGAUAUCAAAUCUAUGAUAACAGAUCUGAACGGUAUGACCAAACUUGCCACACAACUGGCAUUGUGGCUUCUCAGAGCUGUUGGAAUUGUGCCUCCCAUUUUGGCCAUAUCGACCCCCUCGACCACGACCUCUGUAGGUAUAGUUGCUGGUGUUUAGGGUAUGAUUCUGUCCUCGACCGCCAUUAUACCUCCUUCCACCACCUCUGCUAUUAGAUGAAGAGGCAUAAUUGGCUGAUAUAGGAGAGAAUUGUUCAAUCGAGCUUUGUUGCUCAAGGCGAUGUUCAAACGCAAGAAGCAUACUGUGAACAGCUUCAAUAGAGAUCUUGUCAUCUCUAAUAUUAAUAGCAGUUACAACUGCAUUAUAGUCGGAACCAAGUCCGCCGAGGAGAUUCAUAACCUGGUCUUGUUCUGAGACAGGUUCUCCAAUUGCUGCUAGACUAUCUGUAGCUCUUUUAACCUUCGUGAUAUAAUCGAUCAUAGACAGAGAACCUUUCUUGGUUGACUGUAACUCGAGCCUUAGCUGCAUAAUUCUAGCUCUGGAGGAAGAUGAGAAGGUUUUCUCCAAUGCAUUCCAAGCAGAGUGAGAGGAGUUGUGACCAAUGAUUUGUGCCAUGAUCGCUGGUGUGAGAGACGAGUAGAGCCAGCUGAGGAUAGUUCGAUCUUGUCUUCUCCAAGCAACAAAGGCAGGAUUGAUCAAUCCUGAACUGAGUUCUUUAUCUGGACAGAUGGAAGAUCCGUCUAUGAAAUCUUCAAAUCCAUUGGCAAAAACAAUAUUAUCAAUCUGAGAUUUCCACAGAAUGUAAUUAGUCCGAUCAAGUUUCACAGGUAGAGUAUGAUUGAGCAUCUGAUAAGAAGGAUGGGACGCCAUUGUAGUGCUUUGUCCAGAUCCAAUCGAGUCAGAGGAUUGGGUGGAAGCGGAAGCCAUGAUUGGAUCUUAAGGAAAGAAAUGGAAAACUGAGAGAAAGGAGAAAAAAUAGGAGAAUACUCACACCUUUGAUCGAGAAGCUCUGAUACCAAGUUAGAAUUUGAGAAGCCUUUGGUAUAUAAAUAAAUGUACUAGAAAUAGAAUCCUUGUAAAAGAGUCUUUGUUUUCUUCGUGUAUUUGUCUUUGUUUUCAUUUAAUCCUCGGUUGGGACUUGCACAACAGAAAAAAGAGGCUUUGAUGCCUAAGUCAGCAACAGAAUAAAACAUAUGUAAUUAUAAAAGAUAUUCGAUGAUGUAUACAUACCUUGACCGAAUGAUGAAUUACGACUGAUCAUCCUAUUAAACAAGUGAGUGUGAUAGGAUAAUAAUAAUUUUGUUAUUAUUUUAAUCAAUGUUACAUCUUUAUAACAAUAUAGUCCAAGCUCUCCCAUAAUUGUCUCUGAUACACAUAACAUUUAGAGCACCUAAAGGUCCAAAUUGUUACAUAUUUCCUAUAAAUUAUUAUAUGUAACAAAUACUCUUCAAAUUUGUCAAAAUCCUCCAUUAAUAUAAUCCAAGUUUUCUCCAUGAAUAUCAUAGUUUUUGUCUCCAAUUUCUUUGAUAUUGAAAAUGAUUCAUGACACAAAAUCAUCGAUAUGGUCAAGUAAUUAUUGUAUCCAAUGUAUUUUCAUAAAUACUCCUCAAAUUUGCAAAUCGUCCAUCAUUUAGUUCGAGUAUUAGUAUUUUCUAAUUGAUAUAUCUAAUAAAUACUCUUCAAAUUCUUGAAAGUCUUCCAUAAAUAUAAUCCAAGUCCACCAAAAAAAAAUAAAAAAAAUCCCUUUUUCUCCUAAGGGUAUCUAAAAUUCAUAAAAUCAAUCAUUUCUUCAAACCACUAACCUUCACCGAUAAAAUACUAACAAAUCUCCCAUGGCUAAAUCUAAAAUUUAUACAUUUAGCCUCGAAAUAUUUUCUAUUAUCAAAAUCCGGUCCUAAUUUCCUCAGAAUUCUUCAAAUUGAUUAAAAUCUUUCAUCAUCCAAGCUCUAUUAUGAAUGACACUUUUUCUAAUAAACAAAUUUGUCUUCUCCAGUUCACUUAAUACCAAAAGUUCUCAAGGAUAUAAAAUUUUCUUAAAUGAUACAUUGUCAUCAAUAUCUCAAAGUGCUAAAAUAUAUCCAUCAAAUACUCUUUGAAUUUGUCAAAAUCUUCUCAUCCUCUCCUCAUAUUUUCUAUGAAACUUCCAAUUUGUUUCAACCAAACACCCAAACAAUGAACCUUCAACGAUGAGUUACUAGCAAAUUUGUCAUAACCAAAUCCAAAAUUAAUACAUCUAAGAUCCAAAAAUUUCAUAUCAUCAAAAUCUCAACCUAAUGUUCUCAAGGUAAAAGAUGAAAUUCAUGAUAUAUAAAACUAAUAGCAUCUCCAUAAUUAAUUAAAUCCAAAAUUAUAAUUAUAUGCACUAACCAUCCAAAAUUCAAAUAAUUUCAAACACCUAAUUUCUUUUAAUCCGAAAGUCCAACCACAAACAGAUUUCCUAUAAGCAUAUCCAAAAUUUGUAACUAUUGCCCAAUUUUAUGCCACUAAAAGAGUAAGAGUAUGCUCUCAAUAAUGUCAUAAUCUCCCCACUAUAAGCAUAUCCAGCAUAAUCAAACCCCAUCCAAAAUUCCCACAAAAAUAAGAAAAAUAGAAUAAGAAAAUUUGAAAAAUAUACACAAAAAUAGUAAGUUGCAAAGAACAUAGGAGAAAAAGGAAAAAAAAAAACUUCCAAAGUUAAAAUACAACCGGAAAAAUUGAAUAAAAAAUUGGAUGAAGGCCAAAAUUACCAAAAAAAACCAAAAACAAUGGAAAUUGAAAAUAUGGGGCUAUGAAUAAAGCCUUUUUUUUUUUUUUUCAUAAACUAGAAAAAAGAGCAAAAAAACUUUUAAAAAAAGGGGCAAAGGUCAAAAUUUAAAAAUUAAAAAUAAAACCAAAAACAACAAAAAUUUAAAAUAUACAAAAGUGAAUAAACCUUUUUUUUUUCUUUUUUUCUUUUUAUUUAUAUCAAAGACAUUAUUAGAGCCUCUUGAAAGCUAUUCAAGAAUUUUACUUUGGUUCACCCAAAUUUUUUUUUUUAAUUAAAAAAAAUGCAUGACUAAAUAGGUUUUUUUUUUUCUCUUUUUCUUCUUCUAAAUUUCCUUUUUUUUUUUCCUUCAAUAUUGUUUAAACCUCUUGAAAUCAAUUUAAUUUUUUCCCCAAAUUAAUAAUAAAAAAAUUGAAUAUUUGAUUAAAGUGACAUUAAACCAUCAAUUUUAUUCUUUCAAAUAUUCACCAAAAUUCAAAUAACCCAAAAAUGAAUUAAAGAACAAUUCUUAGACUCAAGCUCAAAAAUUUCAAUUAUUAAGUAACCUAAUGUCUAGGAUUUUGAGAAGAUUAAGGUUUGUUUCACUAGCAAUAAACCGAAUAAUACCACAAAUAAAUACUACCACGUGUAAAGGAUAAUGCAAACACAAGUUCAAUAAAGUCGCAUAACUAUAGCAUUGAUAUAAUUGUAUAAGAUUCACCAUCUUCGACUCAUAGAAAUGUAAAUGCAAAACUUGUGCUUAGGACUUUUUUUAUUUUCUGCUCAACUCCCCAUUUAUUGUUACUUUUGUUCCUCUUUUUUUUAUGAGAAAUGACAACUUACACGCUUAGUUGAUUCAUUGCCAUCCAAGGUAGCCUUUUUCAUUCUUGAGAGUGUUUCCAAUUUUUUUGAGAAAAGUGAGGGCUUACACGCUCAAGUGAUUCAUUGCCACCCGAGGUAGCCUUUUCCACUUUUUAGGAAACUUAAUGUAUGAAGGAGGAGCAUACUAACGAUUUUUCCACCACACUCCUUCUACACUCACAUUUUCUUCAAGUCUAGCAUGGAUCAUCAAAGAUAAUAAUGAACAAUUGCCAUAGAUAUUUGUCUUCAUUUUACUUGCGUUGAACAAUGAAUAUAUAGAUAUAGAUUGUGUUUAAACUUGUUGUACCACCCUUUCAACUGCAAUACAUGAAUAUGCAAAGAUCCAAUGAGAAUUUCAGGUAUUCCAGAGCAUAGCACUCUUUUUGUCCAGCUAUCCGUACACAAACACACUGAGCCAGUCCUCAUUGUUCCAGAAUGUUUGAUUAUUUUCAUGAUCAGGUAUUAUUACACAAAGUAAGCAAACUUUUCUGUGUGAAUGCAUGUAGUGUUGACAUCAGGAAGACAGCUUAAUUAUGUGCUGGAGGAGUAAUUAAAAAGAAUCCGCACCUGAUCAAGGCUGAUGAUAUUGGAUAUGGUUAAGGUUAGAUUAGCUGUAAAGUCACAGUGGGAGAGGGUGUACACUCUUGGGAUGAUUCCAGAGUAAUUAUCAAUUUCUUCUCCCAUGGGCACAACUUUCAGCUUUGAAGCAUCAAAUUUUGCCGGAGGCCCCACAAGCCUAGCAGCCUGAAUGUAAGAAUAUAUCAAUAGCAUGUCACCUAAUUGAGAAAUCAGAGAAUUAAAAGGUUCUUAACUUGUAACAAAACUUGGAAUUUGAGCUAUUUAAAAUAAACAAAUGAAAUGAAGACCACAGCAUUGAAUGGACCAGGGACUUAAAAAAUUCGACAACUUGUUCAUUUAAAAUCAAUUAGUCUGUUCCAUAGAAUGAAAAAAAAUAUAUAAGAACUUGCUUUAGAUACACAAGUAAAUCAUUUACUCAUCAAAAUAAGGCUGUGUCUGGCUUUCAGAGACCAUGAGGAAAAGGAAAAGAAAGGAAAAUGGAAGAAAUUUUUGCUUUCAGGCCAGUUUCGGCUAUGCCAUACUUGGUGGAAUUCAUUGCAUUUUGCCAUGAUAUACAUAUGACGGAUUAAAGAAACUGGAUGCACUUUCGCUGUACCCCAACUAUAAACAUAAGCCCAUGCCUUCCACUCUUAGAUGAGCAUAUUGUAAUGGUGGUUUUCCAUUUUCUAUUCUCAUUUUCAGAUAGUUCAAGGCAAUGGGACAACUCAGUGUUUGAAAAGGACUGAAACAAACUGGAGAUGGUUCCAGACUCCCCCUCUUUAACUUAUGUGUUGCUAUUGUCACUAAUUAAGGCAUUAUGCACAACAAAAAGGGUAAGUAUAUAGCAUCAAGCCAAAAAAUACAGGAGGCCCUUUUAUAUCGCUUUCUAAGAAUAUGAGAACACAAUGUCAAUCAACUUGGCGUCCUGUUCCAAUCAUGAACAUAGGGUGAACCCCUAGAACCAUUUUCUGAGUUCAACUUUUCAAUACAUCAAACUACAAGCUAAAAUUUUAGAUAGUUCUCCAUUGUUUUUUUUUUUGUUCAUCUUCACCAUUGAAAUGUUCCACUAUGUUCUCCACUACCAGAUGUUUGAUAUUUUCCAAGAAGCAAAAUGAAACUGCUAACAACACAUAUUGCAAAAAAUUGAACCCUCUAAAUUAUGCGGAAAAUACCAAUCAAAUUGGGAUCAGAUAGGAAUUCAUACUGAAGUAUCCCUUUGUUCAAUUCUUGCAAACAUGGAACAAAUAAGAUGCAAACUUGCAAACACAACUUCAUUAAAAUGUUAUCAAGUGAUUGUGGCAAGCUCAGAAAUAUCUGAUUGAGGAAUGAUUUCAUAUUUACAUUUUUUACAAUUCCCAAGGCAUGAAGUAAUCCAUGUCCUGAGUCCAUGGCUAUUGUGAUGCGUCAAUGGCAUUCAAAAUGCCUUAGGAUUUCACUCAUUGACGACAAUUCAAUGGUGUUAGAAAUUUCGAUAUUAGGGCUAGUUAAUGGUGAAUGUGAUAAUUAGGCAGAGUGGACAUAUUGAACAAAAUCAAAAUGCCGCAAUCUAAACCAACACCCAGAUUCAAAAAUCAACAUAUUAAAACAACCCCGCUUCUAAAUUACUGUCUAUCAUCAAUUUUUCCAAUCAAAAUGCCAGUAUCCAAACACAGAGAGAGAAGCAACAAACCUAAAAAACAAGAGCAUUGUAGGAGGCUUUAGUGCUGCCAAUGGAAGAGAGAAUAACGGGUUUGGAUGCUCUGGAAGGUUUGAGGCUGGUGUUGGUCAUGGAGAAACAGUCCCUCUGCGGUGAUGGUGAGAAUGGAAAAGCACAAUGACAGGCCAUGAAAGCAGACCAAACUCCUACCCUUCAUCAUUUUUGAUAACCCACCAUUGUCUUCACACACAGUUUCACUGUCAGUGAAGGUGAGGGAGAGAGAUGUGGAGAGUUGGGGUUCAUAGUAUUGGUCAUGUGGACUCCAAUUCACGUUCACAGGCCCUCAAGCCCCCAAAAUCUUUGUCAAGCCAUUCCCACCACACAUUGCCUCUCCACACAAUAGAAUGAAGAAUUGAAUAAUGAUCAUUAUGAGGGGGAAGGUCAUAUCAAUUUUGUUUCCAUUUGAAGUAUUUUCUUCCCCGUGCCCAUGUGACGGUGAGCCCUGUGUCAAAUUUGCAAUCGUCUCAUCUGGUACAGCUCUUGUUGUUGGGCACUCCCUCCCCUUUAUUAAAAACCCAGAAGACAAAAUGAUUGUUUAUGAUUUUCAAAAAAUAAAAAUUCGGAAAAUAAUGUGAUGGGCCUCUUGGAGGAGAGGAAGGGUUGGAUCUCCUAUGAUUGAGGUCGAGUCCUGCCCAAAGGGUUUUAGCCUUGAGAGGGGAUUUGAACCCAGGCCCAGGCCUCUAAUUUGGGUCACAGUGAAUGAGAACACCUGCAAAACAAAACAAAGAGGCUCCGAUGCCUAAGUCAGCAAUAGAAUAAAA
rnacentral:lncRNA from 1 species